AGACUCAGGAAGAGUUCGGGCAGAAAUAGAUGGUGAAAAGCCCUUUAUAUUAUAUAAUAAAGCGCGCUCCUUGCAUGACUCCAUAUCAUUCAUUAUUAAAGCGAAAGCGACAACGUGUCACCCUAACCUUCAAAUCGAUAAACGGGAAUGCGUUACCUAAUAAUAAUGAGCAAUGCUGCUAAGAGCAAAUGGUUCCUAACCUCAUAAAAAAAGAGAUAGUCAUAUCCGACUAUCCGGCAACACGCUUGGAUAAGUAAGGCGAUGAACCGUACCUUUAUCUCUAGGCGCCUAUGAUGUCUUAUUAUGUAGAUCAUGUCUUGCUUGAGAGUUCCAAACCUCGCCCUUCUAAAAAAGUACAAACCCACGUCUAGGGAUAUACGAGCGCCAUUCUUCAGAUGGAUCGCUCUUCGAUAGUUAUUUAUUGUAGCCGGGAUAAGCAGGGGUUCCUCCUUCCGUCCUAGUUUUUUUUUAGUACAAGUAGCUAAGGGGGCUGGGUUGCGUCUUUCUUGUGAAAGAAUACUUGCUGCGCACCUGCUGAAAGGAAGUCAAACGGAGAUUACCGGUUCCGGAGGGACCAACCAUUGUACUUAUAGGGUCAGGUCUAUCUUGCCCUUCCAAAUCACCCAUGUGUAGCUCCACCGCACGAGUCAGACCUUGUACGGGCUUUUCCACAGGCUUGAGGCAGACUCUUUCCUUAUUGGGCUUCAAUCCGUUUGUCUUUGCCUCCUCUACUGAGUCAGUGACAGAAGUGCAGCAGCCAAUAAUACGUAUAUAAGAAGAGGACUGCUUACGGGAUCAAACUAUCAAUCUCAUAAGAGAAGAAAUCUCUAUGCCCCCUUUUUCUUGGUUUUCUCCCAUGCUUUUGUUGGUCAACAACCAACCACAACUUUCUAUAGUUCUUCACUACUCCUAGAGGCUUGACGGAGUGAAGCUGUCUGGAGGGAAUCAUUUUGUUGAAAUCAAUUAAUCCAAUAUGCGACGAAUCUUUUUGUUUGAUGAAAAUAGUCUUAAUUCAAGUUCCACCAUUGAUACAUCUUCUGCUUCCACCAUUGAUACAUCUUUUGCGAGUCAAUGCACUAACUUUUCUAGUGGUCAAGCGUCCGGUACUCAGGAUACUCAUGCUGGUAUUUUUGAGGAUUGUCCGGGCCUUAAUCCUAACGAUGAGCGUGUAGUAGAGCUGCAAUGUGAGAUACGCGAGAAGUGUGAGGCAUUAACGCAAGAUCCCGAAAUGGGCUUGAUUUUGGGCGAAGCUUUACAUGCGGAAAGCGACAAUGUCCCUUUUUUGCAGUCCAUUGCUGAUGAUUUAACCCAAAACGGAGUAUCCGGGGAAGCCUUUCAAGAAGCUCUGAAUAUAGUGGGACAGGCGGCGGCCUCCCCACUGGACCAAUUUGAGAUUGUCCCAUUGAUUCCUAUGCAUAUCGGAAACUUCUAUUUCUCAUUCACAAAUCCAUCUUUGUUCAUGCUGCUAACUCUGAGUUUUUUCCUACUUCUGAUUCAUUUUGUUACUAAAAAGGGAGGAGGAAACUUAGUCCCAAAUGCUUGGCAAUCCUUGGUAGAGCUUCUUUAUGAUUUCGUGCUGAACCUGGUAAAGGAACAAAUAGGUGGUCUUUCCGGGAAUGUGAAACAAAUGUUUUUCCCUUGCAUCUUGGUCACUUUUCUUUUUUUGUUAUUUUGUAAUCUUCAGGGUAUGAUACCUUAUAGCUUCACAGUGACAAGUCAUUUUCUCAUUACUUUGGCUCUCUCAUUUUCGAUUUUUAUUGGCAUUACUAUAGUGGGAUUUCAAAGACAUGGGCUUCAUUUUUUCAGCUUUUUAUUACCCGCAGGAGUCCCACUGCCGUUAGCACCUUUUUUAGUACUCCUUGAGCUAAUUUCUUAUUGUUUUCGCGCAUUAAGCUUAGGAAUACGUUUAUUUGCUAAUAUGAUGGCCGGUCAUAGUUUAGUAAAGAUUUUAAGUGGGUUCGCUUGGACUAUGCUAUGUAUGAAUGAUAUUUUCUAUUUUAUAGGGGCUCUUGGUCCUUUAUUUAUAGUUCUUGCAUUAACCGGUCUGGAAUUAGGUGUAGCUAUAUUACAAGCUUAUGUUUUUACGAUCUUAAUCUGUAUUUACUUGAAUGAUGCUAUAAAUCUCCAUUAAAGUUCUUCUUUCUUUUAUUUAUAUUUAUAAUUGAACAAAAGCGAGGGAUGGAUGUCUG
rnacentral:sRNA from 1 species